rnacentral:lncRNA from 1 species
UGUGCAAGGACCCUGAAAUCGGUGUGCAAGGAGAAAAAAGCUGUCUGCAGCUUGGAAGAGAUCUUUAUCUUGGGGAUGCUUACAGGUGAAAUCAAUGGGUUUAGUCAUCUCUUUGAAUGCAGUGGAGGUGAUACUAUGGUCAUAAUGACCAGGGGCUGGGUCAGAAGAACUUCAGAUUGAGCCUCUUGAAACAUUUGCUCUUGGAAUUCUCCCUCUCAGGAAACUAACAGCCUGCUAUGAAGCCCAAGCCACAAAGAGAGGCCAAGGGGAAAUAAACAGAGUGUGAUUAUAUGCAAAACCUACAAGAAUGAGGACCUCCAAACUCAGUGUACAGAGUGAUUUUCUGCUGAAACAAUUGGCUUUUAAAAAAUUGUGUGACUGACCAGCAGCAGUGGCUCACAUCUGUAAUCCCAGCACUUUGGGAGGCCGAGAAAAUAAAAGAGACAUCAGUGUGUGAAUGACGACUUUCUGUUGCUGACUUGGAAGACAGAGGAAUUGGGUCAUGAGCCGAGGAAGGUGGGCAGCUUCUAAAAGGCGGAAAAGUGGCUGAAGUGAGAGGAAGCGAGGAUAUGGCUGACAUUCUCCAAGAAGCAGUGACUUCAGAAGAUGACUGGCAUCUUGAACUUCAGGAAAAUGCUUGGCCUUUUUAACUCUGAAAGUCUGUUUGAAACUCAGAAGAAGAAAAUUAGGUGAAUACAAAACUGCUGCCAAACUUAGAAACUUGGUUAAAUAUCCUGCAGAAAAUAUCAUGGGCUUUUCAGAGUCCAGUUAAAUAUCUACAGAUUAUAUUUCCAGUUUCAUACCUGGGGCAUUAACUCUAUUCAUUUUACUAGCUUUAGUGAAUUUUACUUCUGGAGCAUAACAUUGCAUUGAAAAUGUGUCCUCUAACCUAUGAUAUUUAUGUAUCGUUUAAUAUGAAAUUUAUGAGGUUCCAUUUCUGAUUUCCAAAUGGAUGCAAAUUAGAACACAGGAUAUUUACAUUCUUUCAUUUCUAACCCACAUACAUAAAGUUUGACUUUAAAAUGCCACUGUUCGUGUCUGUUUCAUAGAAGCUCUAGGUAUUUAUACGUCCAUUGUGUCUCUGGCACACUCUGAAUUCCAGUUUUUAAUCUAAUAUUGGGCAGGAAUUGGCUAUAAAAAUACAAUGCCAUUGAGGACAGAGCUGGAUUGCUUUUUUUCUGUUAAUUCUUGAGAACUUUAUAGUUUCUCAGGGAAGUAUAAUUUGUAACCACAUCAUCAUCUAACACUUUUCCUGUCUUUUUUGGAGAUUGACAGUUGAAAAUCUAUAAGAUCUUUUUGCAACUAAGAUCAGGAAAAA